rnacentral:lncRNA from 1 species
ACAAGCUCCCAGCCAAGCUAAGGUAUGUACACCUUACAGUAGCAACAUUCUCAUACAAUAUUUCAUACAAAAAAUUUCGUGCUUACACACUUAAUUCUUAGCCUUCAUUUCUUCUGUACUUACAAUAAAGUCUUUAAGGUCUUUCAACUACUAUGUCUAAUAAUUUUUUUAAGACUUGCAACGCUAAAGGUCCGUCCUGCUAGGGAUGUCACCUUUCAAUCCAAACAUUUAAUUCAACAACCUCACAUGUCUUCUACCUUGUUGCAUCUGCCAAAUGAGCCAGUCAAGAGAGAUGACAAUUGUCUGUUCCAUCAAGAAAUUUGUAUCGCUCAUCAAAAAUCUCAACGAGGCACAGAAAGAAGCACUUGAAAGGAUCGGAUUUAGUGGUUUAUUAGCAAUGCCAGAAAUAACGCUUCAACGCAAACUUUGUAUUUGGUUGGCUGAAAAUUUCGACAUAACUAGCCAAUCAAUAGUGAUCCAAGGCAAACAAAUACCCAUAACAAUUUCAGAUGUGAACAGUAUCAUGGGUUUACCUUCGGAGGGUGUGGAGAUUAGCACAAAACCUGCACUGGAUGAAGAUGAUUACAAAUAUUAUGCCAUGUACAAGGCCUCAAGGAGCAGUAACAUAUCUCUAGGCUGCUUGCAGGAGGCAAUUUUACAAGACCCUGAAGCAGGGGAGCACUUCAUAAGAAGAAUGGUGUUGUUCACCAUUGGAUACAUUUUAUGUCCCACCACAAAGCCAUAUGUUAGCUCUGAUUAUUUAUCCCUUGUGAAGGAUGUUGAUAAGAUUAAAAGCACAAAUUGGUCAAGCUUAACAAGGGACUUUU